UACGUAGGGUGCAAGCGUUGCCCGGAUUUAUUGGGCGUAAAGGGCGCGCAGGCGGCCCGGCGCGUCCGCGGUGAAAGCUCCCGGCUCAACUGGGAGAGGUCCGCGGAAACGGUCGGGCUGGAGCAAGGUAGGGGGUCGUGGAAUUCCCGGUGUAGCAGUGAAAUGCGUAGAUAUCGGGAGGAAUACCGAUGGCGAAGGCAGGUCUCUGGGCUAUAACUGACGCUCAUGCACGAAAGCGUGGGGAGCAAACAGG
rnacentral:rRNA from 1 species